rnacentral:rRNA from 1 species
GAUGAACGCUAGCGGCAGGCCUAACACAUGCAAGUCGAGGGGUAACUAGAGUGAUAGCAAUAUUACUUUGGCUAGACCGGCGCACGGGUGCGUAACACGUAUGCAACCUACCUUAUACUGGGGAAUAACUUCGAGAAAUCGGCGCUAAUACCCCAUAACAUUGCGAAGAGGCAUCUCUUUGCAAUUAAAGCUCCGGCGGUAUAAGAUGGGCAUGCGUCCAAUUAGCUAGUUGGUGAGGUAACGGCUCACCAAGGCUACGAUUGGUAGGGGUUCAGAGAGGAUGAUCCCCCACACUGGUACUGAGACACGGACCAGACUCCUACGGGAGGCAGCAGUGAGGAAUAUUGCGCAAUGGACGAAAGUCUGACGCAGCCAUGCCGCGUGCAGGAUGACGGCCCUAUGGGUUGUAAACUGCUUUUGUACAGGAAUAAACCCUUCUACGUGUAGGAGGCUGAAGGUACCGUAAGAAUAAGCACCGGCUAACUCCGUGCCAGCAGCCGCCGCAGUAA